GAUGAAGAACGUAGCGAAAUGCGAUACGUAAUGUGAAUUGCAAAUUCAGUGAAUUAUUGAGUCUUUGAACGCACAUUGCGCCCCCUGGUAUUCCGGGGGGCAUGCCUGUCCGAGCGUCAUUGCUGCCCUCAAGCACGGCUUGUGUGAUGGGCCCCGUCCUCCGAUCCCGGGGGACGGGCCCGAAAGGCAGCGGCGGCACCGCGUCCGGUCCUCGAGCGUAUGGGGCUUUGUCACCCGCUCUGUAGGCCCGGCCGGCGCUUGCCGAUCAACCCAAAUUUUUAUCCAGGUUGACCUCGGAUCAGGUAGGGAUACCCGCUGAACUUAAGCAUAUCAAUAAGCGGAGGA
rnacentral:misc_RNA from 1 species